rnacentral:rRNA from 1 species
UACAGAGACUACGAGCGUUAUUCGGAUUCACUGGGCGUAAAGGGUGCGCAGGCGGCCGUGUGUGUGAGGCGUGAAAGCCCGGGGCUUAACCCCGGAAUUGCACCUCAAACUACACGGCUAGAGCAUUGGAGAGGGUAGCGGAAUUCACGGUGUAGCAGUGAAAUGCGUAGAUAUCGUGAGGAACACCAGAGGCGAAGGCGGCUACCUGGACAAUUGCUGACGCUCAGGCACGAAAGCGUGGGGAGCAAAAGGG